GACGAACGCUGGCGGCGUGCUUAACACAUGCAAGUCGAGCGAGUGAGUUCUCCGGAACGAUCUAGCGGCGGACGGGUGAGUAACACGUGGGCAACCUGCCUCAUAGAGGGGAAUAGCCUCCCGAAAGGGAGAUUAAUACCGCAUAAAAUUAUCGAGUGGCAUCACAUGAUAAUCAAAGGAGUAAUCCGCUAUGAGAUGGGCCCGCGGCGCAUUAGCUAGUUGGUGAGGUAACGGCUCACCAAGGCGACGAUGCGUAGCCGACCUGAGAGGGUGAUCGGCCACAUUGGGACUGAGACACGGCCCAGACUCCUACGGGAGGCAGCAGUGGGGAAUAUUGCACAAUGGGGGAAACCCUGAUGCAGCAACGCCGCGUGAGUGAUGAAGGUCUUCGGAUUGUAAAGCUCUGUCUUUGGGGACGAUAAUGACGGUACCCAAGGAGGAAGCCACGGCUAACUACGUGCCAGCCGCCGCGGUAA
rnacentral:rRNA from 1 species